UCAAGACGCUAUCACUUUGCUGUUCUCACAUGGUUGCCCACUAAAGCUAAGCAGUGUUGAGCCUGGUCAGUGUCUGGAUAGGAGACCACAUGGGAAAAUACGAGGCUGCUGCUGGAA
rnacentral:rRNA from 1 species